AUUGAACGCUGGCGGCAGGCCUAACACAUGCAAGUCGAGCGGCAGCGGGAAAGUAGCUUGCUACUUUUGCCGGCGAGCGGCGGACGGGUGAGUAAUGCCUGGGAAAUUGCCCAGUCGAGGGGGAUAACAGUUGGAAACGACUGCUAAUACCGCAUACGCCCUACGGGGGAAAGCAGGGGACCUUCGGGCCUUGCGCGAUUGGAUAUGCCCAGGUGGGAUUAGCUAGUUGGUGGGGUAAUGGCUCACCAAGGCGACGAUCCCUAGCUGGUCUGAGAGGAUGAUCAGCCACACUGGAACUGAGACACGGUCCAGACUCCUACGGGAGGCAGCAGUGGGGAAUAUUGCACAAUGGGGGAAACCCUGAUGCAGCCAUGCCGCGUGUGUGAAGAAGGCCUUCGGGUUGUAAAGCACUUUCAGCGAGGAGGAAAGGUUGGUGCCUAAUACGUAUCAACUGUGACGUUACUCGCAGAAGAAGCACCGGCUAACUCCGUGCCAGCCGCCGCCGUAA
rnacentral:rRNA from 1 species